CACGUAGGGCGCAAGCGUUGUCCGGAAUUAUUGGGCGUAAAGAGCUCGUAGGUGGUUUGUUACGUCUGCUGUGAAAUCCUAGGGCUUAACCCUGGGCUUGCAGUGGAUACGGGCAGACUAGAGGUAGGUAGGGGAGAAUGGAAUUCCUGGUGUAGCGGUGAAAUGCGCAGAUAUCAGGAGGAACACCGGUGGCGAAGGCGGUUCUCUGGGCCUUACCUGACACUGAGGAGCGAAAGCGUGGGGAGCGAACAGA
rnacentral:rRNA from 1 species